rnacentral:rRNA from 1 species
CCUACGGGAGGCAGCAGUGGGGAAUCUUGCGCAAUGGGCGAAAGCCUGACGCAGCCAUGCCGCGUGAAUGAUGAAGGUCUUAGGAUUGUAAAAUUCUUUCACCGGGGACGAUAAUGACGGUACCCGGAGAAGAAGCCCCGGCUAACUUCGUGCCAGCAGCCGCGGUAAUACGAAGGGGGCUAGCGUUGCUCGGAAUUACUGGGCGUAAAGGGAGCGUAGGCGGAUAGUUUAGUCAGAGGUGAAAGCCCAGGGCUCAACCUUGGAAUUGCCUUUGAUACUGGCUAUCUUGAGUAUGGGAGAGGUAUGCGGAACUCCGAGUGUAGAGGUGAAAUUCGUAGAUAUUCGGAAGAACACCAGUGGCGAAGGCGGCAUACUGGCCCAUUACUGACGCUGAGGCUCGAAAGCGUGGGGAGCAAACAGGAUUAGAUACCCUGGUAGUCCACGCUGUAAACGAUGAGUGCUAGUUGUCGGCAUGCAUGCAUGUCGGUGACGCAGCUACGCAUAAGACACUCCGCCGUCGGGUAGGUACGGUCGCGAGAAUUAAACGUACGAAGAAGUUAGACGGCGUGAGACGUGCCGACGGACGACGACGACGGGAGGUUAGG